rnacentral:rRNA from 1 species
GUGAACGCUGGCGGUAGGCCUAACACAUGCAAGUCGAACGGCAGCACAGUAAGAGCUUGCUCUUACGGGUGGUGAGUGGCGGACGGGUGAGGAAUACAUCGGAAUCUACUUUUUCGUGGGGGAUAACGUAGGGAAACUUACGCUAAUACCGCAUACGACCUACGGGUGAAAGCAGGGGAUCUUCGGACCUUGCGCGAUUGAAUGAGCCGAUGUCGGAUUAGCUAGUUGGCGGGGUAAAGGCCCACCAAGGCGACGAUCCGUAGCUGGUCUGAGAGGAUGAUCAGCCACACUGGAACUGAGACACGGUCCAGACUCCUACGGGAGGCAGCAGUGGGGAAUAUUGGACAAUGGGCGCAAGCCUGAUCCAGCCAUACCGCGUGGGUGAAGAAGGCCUUCGGGUUGUAAAGCCCUUUUGUUGGGAAAGAAAAGCAGCAGGUUAAUACCCCGCUGUUCUGACGGUACCCAAAGAAUAAGCACCGGCUAACUUCGUG